AAGGUUCGGUUGAAGCCGCACACGCGUCCGGCCUCUACGGGUAUCCACACGAGGCAGAGAACCAAUCCAAACUCACUAAUCUCCCCGGGGUGCUAGCUCCCUUGCAGAGAUACGUUUUGAUGGCUGAAAUCCUCUCUUUUGAAUCAACUCUUGAUUGCCUUAGAGAGGAGGAAGAAGGAUGGAUCAAAAGGAAGAAGGCAAAACCCCUUUGCAGCCUUUUCCUUUUUCUUUUCUUUUGGAACCAAAGAAGAGAGGGAGGAAGGGCUACAUGCCUCCUUCUUUUUCUUUGUUUGCUGGUGGCUGAAACCCAAGAGAAAGAGGC
rnacentral:lncRNA from 1 species